UUCCUCUCUGUAGAAAAACAGAAAAAUCCUAAGACACUCAAACGCCGACAGUCGUGCCGUCUUCACCUCCGUCCGAAUCUGCCACCACGCCGCUCAACCAGCAUUGGCGUCGCCGGCAACAUAACCCCUUUCGAGAGGGAGCAGCGAUUUCACAUCCUUCAUCGCUACGCGUACGCAGUCGUCAACCUACCCCGACUAGCCACUGUGGCAGAUCCCCUACUCCGUCCAAGGCGCCGCCGGCGACCAAACCACUGUAGCUGUCGCCAGCCUAGACGUGAAAUCCCUCUUUCCCCUUCCUCGCGCGAGAACAUGGAAGCGUCAUGCUUCUUCCCUUCAACCGACCACCACCGCGAGUCGCCGUCGUCGCGAGACGCCGUCGUCGCGAGACGCCGUCACAGAAACAACAACUCUUUGUCGGACUACCACUGUGCAACCACCGCGCCUCCGGAAGUCAACGCGAACUCUAGUCGCUGCAGCCACAACAAUCACCACACGAAAAUCCUCUUUUAUUCUCAUUACACUCUGUUCUACCACACACACUCAUUCUAAUUUAGGUUUGAAUCUCACCUUGAUGAGAUUUUACGUGUUCUUGUUGUUUUCCUUGUUUGGGCGUUUGCAGGUUACAGGCCAUGAAUCACUUGGUUUCAAGGAGGAUUUGGCAUAGAGUGUUGUUGUUGUAUAUCUUAGUUUUUGAUUGCUUGAAUGCUUUGCAGUGCGUUUUCUAGGCAUUUCUGGAUGUAAGUAAAGAGGUUAUUGGGGUCUUGCUGUUGGGGAUACAUGUCCAUGUUCCAUUCUCAAUUAAAUAUGAUAGAUUUUGCAGGCAUUGAAACUGCGUUUUGGGUGCAGUUUUGAUUGACAGAGGAUAUCACAAAGUAAGCGAACACAACCAUAUACACGCAUAUUUCAUUCAUAUGUAACAGAGGCAUGUUUCAUUCAUAUC
rnacentral:lncRNA from 1 species